UACGGAGGGUGCAGGCGUUAAUCGGAAUUACUGGGCGUAAAGAGCGCGCAGGCGGUCGUUCAAGUCGCGUGUGAAAGCCCCCGGCUCAACUGGGGAGGGUCACGCGAUACUGAUCGACUCGAAGGCAGGAGAGGGAAGUGGAAUUCCCGGUGUAGUGGUGAAAUGCGUAGAUAUCGGGAGGAACACCAGUGGCGAAGGCGACUUCCUGGCCUGUUCUUGACGCUGAGGCGCGAAAGCUAGGGGAGCAAACGGG
rnacentral:rRNA from 1 species